UUCUAAAACUGGUUCCCGACAUAAAUAUGCAAGAUCAGAUCAUGAAAAAGGAAACGGCUUUGUAUCGGGACGUUGUUUCCUGUUUCGGAAAUCCUUUAGCUAUUCGACAUAGAAAUCAAAUGGCACCAGCUGAAUGGUGGAAACAUUAUGGGUCUAAGGCACCAAAUUUGCAAAACUUUGCAAUUCGAGUCUUGAGCCUAACUUGUAGUGCUACUGGCUGUGAGAGGAAUUGGAGUACUUUUCAACAUAUUCAUAGCAAAAAG